rnacentral:rRNA from 1 species
UACGUAGGGUGCAAGCGUUAUCCGGAAUUAUUGGGCGUAAAGAGCUCGUAGGCGGUUUGUCGCGUCUGCUGUGAAAGACCGGGGCUCAACUCCGGUUCUGCAGUGGGUACGGGCAGACUAGAGUGCAGUAGGGGAGACUGGAAUUCCUGGUGUAGCGGUGAAAUGCGCAGAUAUCAGGAGGAACACCGGUGGCGAAGGCGGGUCUCUGGGCCGAUACUGACGCUGAGGAGCGAAAGCGUGGGGAGCGAACAGG